GCUAGAAGGGACCUGGCUACUUAUGUCCCUGCUGCUUGUGUAUCCAGGAUGGUGUGUGCUGGUGACACUGGUUAAAUACGGGUUUUUUCCACAUAUGGGAAAACCUUUCUAAAGAACUUGUGAGCUCAGGACAGAAUCUUCUACUUUUCACAAGAGUCUUCCUAAUGUCAGUGCCUUCUUCCUGCCCAGCAGGAUUUUGCUACCAAAAGCUGGGCUGCUUUUCCUUCGGCUCCUCAUACCUGUGCAGAUGGCAUUAACACAACCCCUACUGUCUAGUAACAAGUAGCAGUGACUUCAUACCUAAAGGCAGAAGUCUUUGAGAUGCAGCGGUUUCCUGGGGCUGCGUGGAGUGUCUCUAGCACUGCUGGAAUUCCUCUUUAGACAGAAGAAUGCAGAGGAUCUGUGGAGAGCGAGGAUCCUGUUUAAGGUAGAGAAAGAAGGGCAUCCAAAGGUGCAUUUCUUGGGGCUCUCUCCUCUUUAACUCCCUUCAUCUUUUUAGGAAAAAUUUUGACAUGGAAAAGGUUAUUAAGCCUUGGACUGGGCUGCCCAGGGAAGUGGUUGAGGCCCCAUCCCUGGAGAUAUUCAAAAGACUGGUUGACAUAGAGCUUAGAGACAUGGUUUAGUGAUGGGUUUUAUCAGUUAGGUUGCUGGUUGGACUCGAUGGUCUUAAAGGUCCCUGACCUAGACAAUUCUAUGAUGAUACUAUGAUUCUAUAGAGUGGGUACCUGUGUUCUUACUAAAUGCUAAAAUGUUCUUUCUAAACUGUAGUAUAUCCACUUAUGCUCAGUGUAGUAAGAGAAAUACAAUUUGGAGUGUCUCCUUUGUAAACAACUCAAGGUUAAAUAGGAAUUCUAAGCAUAAGUGCUUCUGAGGAAGGUACUUGCAACUGAACUGAAAAAGCUCCUGCUAACACUGUGUGUGUGAAGUAUGGCUCUGUGGAAACUGAAGGCUCUGGCAGACUCCAGUAAUGAGUUAGUGCAGCAGAUUUAAACAUAUUUAAUGGCUUUAAAUGCGCUGUAGGUUUUUUUUUUUAUUGUAAAGUGUAUUGACAGUGGUGGUUGAGUGCAGGUCUUCCGAAAGGGUGUUUUUGUCAAGGUGAGUCAGUCACUGGGUGAGGUGUCUGUGACUUUUGUAGGGCAGGUACCUCGGAGUGAACCGAGUUUCUGCUGUCUUCAACACAAAUCUGUCUCCUCUAGCUCAGAUCUCGAUCCAGCUUUGUUAUGAGGCUGAGAAGAAGCUGUGUGAAGGUAGAGGUGCCUAAAAAUGGGUAGGGAAAACUAGAGCAAAUCUGCAGUCUGUGGUGGCUCUCGGAAGGUUGCUGCUGAUACAACUUCAGAGAAUUGCAAAGUCAUUAGUAGAGUAAUUCUGGGUAUUUCCACUGACAUCACUGUUACCGUCAUCCCCAGAGAAGCUCCUCAUGAACAAUCUCUUUCUAUAACAGUAACUACAGUAAACUUGGUGUGGGUUGUUUUGCUGUUUGAGUCCUGGGACAGAGGCUCCUGUUAGAAGCACUAGAUCUGUUCCUGCAGCAGCGCUAGAAACCAGCAAGGUAACAGCAGACUGGAGGUUGCUUUCCCCCUGGUAGCGAUGGCUUGUUUGAGCUGAACCUUCAACUCCCAACCUCGAAAUAAACCUGUGCAAGUACUGGAUUGGAGAUUUCUGUGGUGGUUUUUCUCUUCUCCCAUUUCUACCCCUUGGGAAGGAAAGAGCGGGAGAAGGCUUAAAACUUGCAAGAACUUUGUUCUUACUCUUAAGUAUUUUUUUGGAAAAAAAAACCCAACAAAACACCACAAACAUUGUAUGUCAAUAAAUUUUUAAGUCCUGUCUUUAGAUCAAAAACUUUGAAGAGAGUGAAAAAUCUGAAUUGCAACUCUUUCUUUUUUCUUUGCCAGUUUGUGCACUCUUUCAUAUAGUAGGAACAUUCCAGCUCUUUAUUUGAACAUGUUUUUUCUAACUUAGGUUUUACAUUCAUUAUCAUCUUGCAAGCUAAAGGUAGUUAUUUGGUGAGAAGGGGACUUGGAUGGCAGACAGCUGCAACCCUUUUGUAAUUUUUUUCUGUGUAUCAGUAUAGAAAAGAAGGAAAAACCUGUGGAUCUUGGAAGCAGGUGAGUGACUCCUGCUGCUGUGCCCGUUCUCCGUGGUGAUGGGAUGUGCAGGGUCCUCCUGUGGGAGCAAAGGACUUCUCUGCUCCAGUCCCCACUCAGUGAUCUUUAGGGAGCUACUGCCGGUGUAAAAGAGGGGUUUGAAACUUACUUUUUCAGCCUUUCAAAGCAAAGAAUGUCAUUCUUACCCUGUGUUGCCAGCCACAGAAGCUGUCUGCCCCCCUCGGUGGGUGAGAGGGAAGCCCUGUGGGCCGGGGGGGCUGUGGUGCCUGCUCUCAGGUGCAGUGUGUUACCCGUGGUGGCAGGUCAGUGUGUGCUGGCAGCACCUGGGCUGUCUCCAGCGUGACCACCUGCAGCUCAGGAGCCCCACGCAGCUCUGAGGAGAGUCCUGGCUCCAUCUCCCACCACCACCACCAGGAUCUUCAGCUUCCUGGGAUCCUCAAAGAGAGCACAGACCGUGUCCAGCCCUCGUGGAAAAGGGUUGAGAGAGGGGUGAGCACACUCACUGUGUCUUCUGUAAUCGGAUUGGUGGAUUAAAAGAAGCUGCUCCGGGAGCAAGGCAGGAGAACGGGGACG